ensembl:lncRNA
AGUGCCAAUGGGCCAGAACCCGGUUUGGCUCUUGCUGUGCUAUGUAUUGUGCAACGAAGUCUCUUGACAGUCUUUGCCCUAAAGUGCUAACAGUCUAAAAGAGACAAAGUCACAGGCAGAAAGAGAAUAAGGGAUCUAAGAGCAGAGUUUCCUGAUGGGUAGCAGAUCAUACUAUACCAAUUUCAAAAGAAGAGUUUGGGGAUUUUGACAGUGAGAUUGCAAAAGGGGUAGCCCAAGUACUGUGCUGCUCUGAAAAUGUUCCCUAGUACUGGUAAAUGAUGGAAAAGGAGAUUCCUGCUUAAAGUACAAUACGAGACGGAUGCCUUGCUGCUCUCAAGACUGAGGAAGCAUGACAGGCAGAAGGAGCAGCCUCAAGCAUGGCAGAGUCAAGCACCUACUGGCUCAGCAGGGACCAGCCUCAUCCACCGCAGGCUUGUUGCAUCUACGCUGGCUCUUUGGGCAGCCAGGGUACAGACAGUGCUUAGAGAAGCAAUGAUUCUGCGACUCUGCUGGAGACCUGUGUGUUUGGUCUACGGACAGCUUGAUCACCAAGAACUCACACUUGCAAGCCUCGAAGGCUAGCAAACCACCCUCACAACCUGUGGCUCCAGCCCACUCCCUCCUUCAGCCAAGGAAUCGCUCUGUGUUGUUCAGAGAGAUUGCAGCGUGCCAUCGCUGCUUGCCCUUAGCCGGUGCUGCUCGUUAAAGACUGAGAAUGUGGAAUAUGACUUGUUUUGUGCCAACAGAGAUAAAUGGAUGACGAAGCACAUGUAACUAGCAAAGCACGGGCACUUCUGCUGGCACCAGCAUCCAAGGGUUGCUUUCACUGAUCAAAAUGAGGAAAAAAAAAAAACCAAGGAUGUGAAAGCCAUUGGCAUUGGUAGGAAGCAAUUAACUAAAGGAGAAACUACUGAACUCUCACUUUGUACUUUUCCUCAUGAUUCUUGCUGGUUUCUGGGACCAAGGACUUGGUGAGAAUGCAGCUUCAUCAUCCUUCGGACUCUUCAUGCCUUCUUGGAUUUUGAAUCUGGUCAUCAGGAAGGAUAAAGAAUAACAACAGGUGACUAUGGAACUAAUGAAUCGGGAAGCAAUCCUAAAAGAAUUGCAGUACUCCAUGCCUUUGGGAGAGGCACCCAAAGACACCUGCCUCUUGGCUGCAGCUUUCACUCCUGCCCUCAGAAUCAGAAGAGCUGAGCAGUGGAAAUAAUGCUAUAUUUCUUUGUCUCCUGACCAUUUUGUCAUGCAGAAACACCCCCUCCAGUUUUCUGCGAUGUCCUUGGAGCCUGUCUCCAUGCUCAGAAAAGUCUUUGCGCUA